rnacentral:pre_miRNA from 1 species
GAAAUACUCCCUCCGUUCGGAAUUACUUGUCGCAAAAAUGGAUGUAUCUAGACAUAUUUUAGUUCUAGAUACAUCCAUUUUCGCGACAAGUAAUUCCGAACGGAGGGAGUAGCUU